rnacentral:rRNA from 1 species
UACGUAGGGUGCGAGCGUUAAUCGGAAUUACUGGGCGUAAAGCGUGCGCAGGCGGUUAUUUAAGUCAGGUGGGAAAGCCCUGGGCUUAACCUAGGAAUUGCGCUUGAGACUGGAUAGCUUGGAGUGCGGCAGAGGGAGGUGGAAUUCCACGUGUAGCAGUGAAAUGCGUAGAGAUGUGGAGGAACACCGAUGGCGAAGGCAGCCUCCUGGGCCAGCACUGACGCUCAUGCACGAAAGCGUGGGGAGCAAACAGG